rnacentral:rRNA from 1 species
GACGAACGCUGGCGGCGUGCUUAACACAUGCAAGUCGAACGAGAAGAGAUGAGAAGCUUGCUUCUUAUUGAUUCGAGUGGCAAACGGGUGAGUAACGCGUAAGCAACCUGCCCUUCAGAGGGGGACAACAGUUGGAAACGACUGCUAAUACCGCAUGACAUAUUGAGAUCGCAUGGUUUUAAUAUUAAAGAUUUAUCGCUGAAAGAUGGGCUCACGUCUGAUUAGUUAGUUGGUGAGGUAACGGCUCACCAAGACUGCGAUCAGUAGCCGGACUGAGAGGUUGAACGGCCACAUUGGGACUGAGAUACGGCCCAGACUCCUACGGGAGGCAGCAGUGGGGAAUAUUGGGGCAAUGGGCGAAAGCCUGACCCAGCAACGCCGCGUGAAGGAGAAGGUUUUCGGAUUGAAACUUCUUUAUCAGGGACGAAGAAAGUGACGGUACCUGAUGAUAAGCACGGCUAACGUACGUG